GGACAACAUCUCCCCAUCCAACCUUUCCUUCCAGGCAUGGCCUUCCCCUUCUGCCCCAGCCACUAGAGAGAGGUGGACAACAUCUCCCCAUCCAACCUUUCCUUCCAGGCAUGGCCUUCCCCUUCUGCCCCAGCCACUAGAGAGAGGUGGACAACAUCUCCCCAUCCAACCUUUCCUUCCAGGCAUGGCCUUCCCCUUCUGCCCCAGCCACUAGAGAGAGGUGGACAACAUCUCCCCAUCCAACCUUUCCUUCCAGGCAUGGCCUUCCCCUUCUGCCCCAGCCACUAGAGAGAGGUGGACAACAUCUCCCCAUCCAACCUUUCCUUCCAGGCAUGGCCUUCCCCUUCUGCCCCAGCCACUAGAGAGAGGUGGACAACAUCUCCCCAUCCAACCUUUUUCCUUCCAGGCAUGGCCUUCCCCUUCUACCCCAGCCACUAGAGAGAGGUGGACAACAUCUCCCCAUCCAACCUUUCCUUCCAGGCAUGGCCUUCCCCUUCUGCCCCAGCCACUAGAGAGAGGUGGACAACAUCUCCCCAUCCAACCUUUCCUUCCAGGCAUGGCCUUCCCCUUCUAUCCCAGCCACUAGAGAGGUGGACAACAUCUCCCCAUCCAACCUUUCCUUCCAGGCAUGGCCUUCCCCUUCUGCCCCAGCCACUAGAGAGGUGGACAACAUCUCCCCAUCCAACCUUGCCUUCCAGGCAUGGCCUUCCCCUUCUGCCCCAGCCACUAGAGAGAGGUGUACAACAUCUCCCCAUCCAAACUUUCCUUCCAGGCAUGGCCUUCCCCUUCUACCCCAGCCACUAGAGAGAGGUGGACAACAUCUCCCCAUCCAACCUUUCCUUCCAGGCAUGGCCUUCCCCUUCUACCCCAGCCACUAGAGAGAGGUGGACAACAUCUCCCCCAUCCAACCUUUCCUUCCAGGCAUGGCCUUCCCCUUCUACCCCAGCCACUAGAGAGGUGGACAACAUCUCCCCAUCCAACCUUUCCUUCCAGGCAUGGCCUUCCCCUUCUGCCCCAGCCACUAGAGAGAGGUGGACAACAUCUCCCCAUCCAACCUUUCCUUCCAGGCAUGGCCUUCCCCUUCUGCCCCAGCCACUAGAGAGAGGUGGACAACAUCUCCCCAUCCAACCUUUCCUUCCAGGCAUGGCCUUCCCCUUCUGCCCCAGCCACUAGAGAGAGGUGGACAACAUCUCCCCAUCCAACCUUUCCUUCCAGGCAUGGCCUUCCCCUUCUACCCCAGCCACUAGAGAGAGGUGGACAACAUCUCCCCAUCCAACCUUUCCUUCCAGGCAUGGCCUUCCCCUUCUACCCCAGCCACUAGAGAGAGGUGGACAACAUCUCCCCAUCCAACCUUUCCUUCCAGGCAUGGCCUUCCCCUUCUACCCCAGCCACUAGAGAGAGGUGGACAACAUCUCCCCAUCCAACCUUUCCUUCCAGGCAUGGCCUUCCCCUUCUGCCCCAGCCACUAGAGAGGUGGACAACAUCUCCCCAUCCAACCUUUCCUUCCAGGCAUGGCCUUCCCCUUCUACCCCAGCCACUAGAGAGGUGGACAACAUCUCCCCAUCCAACCUUUCCUUCCAGGCAUGGCCUUCCCCUUCUACCCCAGCCACUAGAGAGAGGUGGACAACAUCUCCCCAUCCAACCUUUCCUUCCAGGCAUGGCCUUCCCCUUCUACCCCAGCCACUAGAGAGAGGUGGACAACAUCUCCCCAUCCAACCUUUCCUUCCAGGCAUGGUCUUCCCCUUCUGCCCCAGCCACUAGAGAGGUGGACAACAUCUCCCCAUCCAACCUUUCCUUCUAGGCAUGGCCUUCCCCUUCUGCCCCAGCCACUAGAGAGAGGUGGACAACAUCUCCCCAUCCAACCUUUCCUUCCAGGCAUGGCCUUCCCCUUCUACCCCAGCCACUAGAGAGAGGUGGACAACAUCUCCCCAUCCAACCUUUCCUUCCAGGCAUGGCCUUCCCCUUCUGCCCUAGCCACUAGAGAGAGGUGGACAACAUCUCCCCAUCCAACCUUUCCUUCCAGGCAUGGCCUUCCCCUUCUACCCCAGCCACUAGAGAGGUGGACAACAUCUCCCCAUCCAACCUUUCCUUCCAGGCAUGGCCUUCCCCUUCUACCCCAGCCACUAGAGAGAGGUGGACAACAUCUCCCCAUCCAACCUUUCCUUCCAGGCAUGGCCUUCCCCUUCUGCCCCAGCCACUAGAGAGGUGGACAACAUCUCCCCAUCCAACAUUUCCUUCCAGGCAUGGCCUUCCCCUUCUGCCCUAGCCACUAGAGAGAGGUGGACAACAUCUCCCCAUCCAACCUUUCCUUCCAGGCAUGGCCUUCCCCUUCUGCCCCAGCCACUAGAGAGGUGGACAACAUCUCCCCAUCCAACCUUUCCUUCCAGGCAUGGCCUUCCCCUUCUACCCCAGCCACUAGAGAGAGGUGGACAACAUGAAAGAGAGGUGUGGACAACAUUAAAGAGAGGUGUGGACAACAUGAAAGAGAGGUGUGGACAACAUUAAAGAGAGGUGUGGA